GUACAGUGAUGACAAUCUUAGGACACCUUUGGAGGUAUUGACCCAUGAAAAUAACAUGUUAAAUCUGAGUACG